rnacentral:lncRNA from 10 species
ACAGGUGAAAUAGAGGAGAUGACAUGAAUGAGGGACUACAUUGGAAUGAAGAAGAACCUGGAGGAGGUAAAAAAACUGAAGGCUCCGGAUGUCGGACGAUGGAAAAUAAAAACAACAAGCAAGUGAAACUCCCUGACUUAUCAACCUUACUCAAGAAAUGGGAAUUUCUGCCCUAGAGAGGUCUUGGAAACUUUCUCACCAGAAGAGCACAACUUGAUGGCAGGAAGCUCCUGAUGGAGGCCUGAAAAUGGCCCUGAAAGGGAUGCCAGGGGACCAGGGCUCCACUAUUAUCAGCGUGUGACUUUGGACAAGGAUGUUAAUGGCUCUGUGACUCAGUUACCUCUUCUGUACUUUGCUUAGGGGUCUAUUGCUUUCCAUUUUGUCUUUUUCAUUUGUU